rnacentral:tRNA from 1 species
CCGCCAUUAGCUCAUCGGGAUAGAGCGCCAGCCUUCGAAGCUGGCUGUGCGGGGUUCGAGUCCUCGAUGGCGGUCCA